rnacentral:rRNA from 1 species
UACGAAGGGUGCAAGCGUUAAUCGGAAUUACUGGGCGUAAAGGGUGCGUAGGCGGUUAGUUAAGUCUGUUGUGAAACCCCCGGGCUCAACCUGGGAAUGGCAAUGGAUACUGGCUGGCUAGAGUGUGUCAGAGGAUGGUGGAAUUCCCGGUGUAGCGGUGAAAUGCGUAGAGAUCGGGAGGAACAUCAGUGGCGAAGGCGGCCAUCUGGGACAACACUGACGCUGAAGCACGAAAGCGUGGGGAGCAAACAGG